CCGCGAACGACAGAGCGAGAGCGGCAACUUUGCACUCUUCAUUUGUGCACCAAUCGAGAAAAAAUUCAAUAAAGCUCGCUUCCAUUUGUCUAAUUGCCUAUGUAAACCUACGUAUAACUGCGAUUGUUCGAUCCCGCGAUACUCCACGGAGAAAAUGGGGCUUCUCUUGGUUGUUUCGUCUUGUGGGAAUGAAGUUUUGAGAAAUGCCGGGGCACGGCGUGUCUCAAGUGAAGUGUGAGCCGCAGUCGGACGAGGAAGACAGCAAUUCGCAGUACUCGCUCGGCUACUUGACCAAUCAGCUACCUUUAAGGCAUUGUCCAAUUAAAUUAGAAAAUGGUGUCCACCACGAAAAUAAUAAUUCAGGCCACAUUUUACAAGACUUGCAG